rnacentral:rRNA from 1 species
UACGGGGGGGGCAAGCGUUGUUCGGAAUUACUGGGCGUAAAGGGCUCGUAGGUGGCCAACUAAGUCAGACGUGAAAUCCCUCAGCUUAACUGGGGAACUGCGUCUGAUACUGGAUGGCUUGAGUUUGGGAGAGGGAUGCGGAAUUCCAGGUGUAGCGGUGAAAUGCGUAGAUAUCAGGAGGAACACCGGUGGCGAAGGCGGGUCUCUGGGCCGUAACUGACGCUGAGGAGCGAAAGCAUGGGGAGCGAACAGG